AGCACGGACUCUUCAACUGCAAGAAGUUCUUCCAGCAGUGUGGCUGACCAAAAAGAGUCCCGCGGAGGUGAAGAAAGUCUUCGGGAUCCUGACAACGACGCCAGCGGCUUAUUGAGGAGGAGGAACUCAAAUUCUUCCUCCCAGAGGUUCAACCCGGGGCCCGUGUCCUGACUGAAAAAGAGACCAAGGCCUUCAUGUCUGCUGCUGAGAUGAUGACAGCGACGGCAUGAUUGGAGCAGAUGAGUUCCAGGCCAUGGUCCUAUCCUGAAUACCUGUACAACACCCAUCCUACCUCUUUCUCCUUGCCCAGCUCCCAGCGCUAGGAUUUAUAACUUUAGUUUUCCAUCUGUCAAUCUAUUUGGAACAUUUAUUAUUUUUUUUGCAAGCCUCGGUUCAGAAUACCUACAACUCACCGAUUUUUUUAUUUUGCUUUUUGCAUACGUUUUAGACAGGUCAUUAUAUUAUUGCCCAAAAUGUAUCACUUACCAAAUUAUCGAGAAAAUAAAAUAAUAAAAUGCAUUCUAAAAUCUU